rnacentral:rRNA from 1 species
GGAGGUUACUGCUAUCGGUGUUCGCCUAACCCAUGCGAGUCAUAUGUUCUUCGUGAACAUGGCGUACUGCUCAGUAACACGUGAAUAACCUGCCCUUGGGACCGGCAUAACCCCGGGAAACUGGGGAUAAUUCCGGAUACCGCAUAUAUGCUGGAAUGCUUUAUGCGUGAAAUGGAUUCGUCUGCCCAAGGAUGGGUCUGCGGCCUAUCAGGUAGUAGUGGGUGUAAUGUACCUACUACCCUACAACGGGUACGGGUUGUGAAAGCAAAAGCCCGGAAAUGGAUUCUGAAACAUGAAUCAGGCCCUACGGGGCGCACCAC